CUAAAAGAAUUAAGUAAGACAGGAACUCAUUUUACAAACCAAAUAACGAGAAUAUGCAUGCAAAUUGUUGAGCUACUGAUUUUAAACCAAAAAAAAAACACUUGAAAAGCAAUGAUGGAUCUGGUAAAUUCAGAUUCAAUAUUUCAUGAAACAGAAUAGGGAAUAAUUUACUGUUUGAUUUAGUACCUUGUUAAACCAUGGAUCGUGAAGAAUGUCAAGACUACGUUUGUGAACAAUGGUGGGACGGUGACCUUCGGUUGUGGUAAAAUUCCUAGAAGAAGUUGAAUUCACUGCUGUUACUCUUUGCUGUAAACGCCUCAGUAGAGUAGAGGAGAGUCGCAUUUGAUGAGAAACAUUCGCCAUUUUUCGGAUCGAAGAGAGAACACAAAGGGGAAAGUGAAGUUCUUAUUAAUAAACCCUAUAAAUAAUCACACACAUAUUCGAUUCGAUGUAGUGAAAAAAGAAAGAUGCAAAAAAGUACAGUGGCCGGAAAAAGUUUAAACUGAAGGUAAUUGAAUAAUGAUUGUUCCUUUCCUUAAAUGGGAGCAAUUUUCAGGCAUUGACUAGGAGCUGCCAGUCAAAGCCUGUUCGACCCGGCUCACUUAUGAUGAGAAAAUGAUGUCUCACUUUUUCACAGUUUAAAACUUGGACAAUCCAAUUGACAAAAAUAAAAUCUAUGAAAAAUUGUAAAAAUGUAAAUUAUGUAAUGAAUAUAUUAUAUUAUGGAUGUUAAUUUAGUACUCUGUUAUAAAUAAACUUCUUGAAGAAACUUAUUCAUAUGAGACUCCGCCAUAAAUAUGUUUAUAUAUUUAGUACUUUAUUGGAAAUAAGCCAACCGAAGAAACUUAUCAUUUCGGUACUCCGUUAUGGAUAAAUAUUACCCCUGGUACAAGAUUAUCUAUAUCUAGUACAGUAGCAGCUUGCAGUAGCAGCUUCCUUUCCUCUAUAAGUAGAGGAGAAUUCAAUUCAUUAUGUACAUCAGUUUCAAGUUGAAUAAUAUAUCAGGUUCUCUCUACACUUGUCUUUACUUUAAACCUUUAUUUUAUAACACGUUAUCAGCACGAGACUCUGCCAUCUCGAGCAAAUACUUUGAAAGUAUAAAGGUACGAACUUUUUU
rnacentral:lncRNA from 1 species